CAUUUUCUCGCCUUCGCAAUGAAAAUCUAGUUGUGAUUCCAUUAGCUGACUUGGUACGGUCCUUUUCAUUUUCUCUCUUUCUGUCGUGAAAACAGAGAUAAACAUCAACAUAUCAAUUGUUUUGAGAUAAAAUCAAGAAAAAAUCUGUCAUUUUAAGAGGAUUAACCGUCAAAGCUGUAGAUAUUACCGGAAUGCCAAAACUUUUACCCCUUAAAACGUGCACACUUUACUUGUUUUGUGUAUGAUAUUGUCUUUUCCAAAUUCAAUUUCUGGAUCAGAUAAACCAUAGUGCCAGAGUAACUACAGAAGAUCAUGCUUAUGAAAUUAAAGGAGCAGCAGGUCUUUUCUCCUGGGAUUACCUAUUUUCCCUAAGGAGUCCCCUUUCUCUCAAGGCUGGUGACCAGGUGAAAUGCCCUUGCCUCUGAUUUUUUUUCUCUUCUCACGUUCCGUAUGUAUCUAAGAAGUUUAUACACGAAUUAACAAGCCAGUUCUUAUUGAUCAAAGCGUGUUACGAAUUAAAUAAGAACAUGUUAAACAAACUUUUCUGUGAGAACUCUUAGGAGAAAAAAGUAAGAAGAAAAUGAAAUGAAUUUCUUCAUAAGUUAAAAUUUGAUUAUCCAUGAACUAAUUAUGAAAGUUCCAUCAUUAGUUUCUCUACAUUUUUAAUGUUUUACUAGUUGCAUAAGCUAUCGAGAAAUUCAUUCCAUUUUUUCUUUCUUUUUAUUUUGUAUUUGUCCUUACGGAGAAGUUUCUCUACGUUGUAUUUAGAAGAACAAACCGUGCAAUUGGUGACAUAAAAUACAAUGGUAAUAUAUACUUACACAUAACAAAGGAAGGAACUUUUUACUGCAGGUGUAUAUCCAAUAUGAUUUGAAUAAAAGCAAUGCUGAGCUGGCUCUGGACUACGGUUUCAUUGAACCAAAUGCAGACCGGAAUGCAUAUACCUUGACACUGCAG
rnacentral:lncRNA from 1 species